AUUGGAAUGCCAAAAGUCAUGUGGGUGAAUGAUGUAAGGAUAGGACAUGCAUGAAUAAAUUGGUGGAUAAAUAAGCUGUAGAUGGGUUCUGCUCUGCAGGCCACUUUCAGCAGCAAGCAGAACUCCUCCUCUCCUUCUUUAAGAGAUCUGUUCAGCCUUGAAGAUGUCAAGCUCAUGGUGACGGAAGGUUGGUUGAAAGCUCCAUACAAUCCUGACAAAGUCAUCUCACUCCACAAGCAGAGUUUAUUGCGGUCUAUAUCAUCCUUACAUAUCAUCCCUGUUGCUUCCUCAGAGUGGGAAAUAAGAAGCAAUCAUAAUCCUUUAUCAAUACAUCAUAUUCUCUUCAUGGUUAUGCUGCCUAUUUUUUCUUUCAGAGAAAGGAAAGAGAAGAGAAAGAAGAAAGUAAAGAAAAUAAAAGAAAUAAAGAAAACAAAUAUUUAAAUAAUUUUUUUUAAAAAAAUACUUUAAUGUUGCACCAUAUUAGACUAACCUGUAUGUUCUGAUGUAUCUUUGGUGAUGUUUUUGCCAUGAUGAUUUUAACUGAGGAAUGUUUCCUUUACAAGGAACCUGAAAAAAAUUCCAACACCCAGAACCAGCAAUCAACCAUCACCCCCAUCACAUCACCACCACCACAAAAAAUAUACCACAAAACAUGGUUAUGUAACUGCUCUGUAAUACAAAAAAAAAUAAAAUUAAAAAAUAAAAAUUUAUAGUGUUAUUG
rnacentral:lncRNA from 1 species